UGUAGGAUGUGCGGGGAGGCUCCCAGGUGGCGCUGCCCUGCUUCUUCCAGAGCUUCUGCCGCGGGGUCUGCAGGGGGAAUGCUCACACACCUGCUCCAAGCUAAGCUCUUUCUUCUGGCUCUCCUUAUCACUGGCCUUUGGGGACCAAGGCUUUAGACCAGCCUUGUGCUGCCUGCAGAUGUCUUCACCUGGCAGUGGUCUCGGCUUUGACAGAGAACCAGGUAGGACACAAAAGGGUGCUUCAGCAUUUCUGUACCAUCACGCAUGGCCAUGGAUCUGCCUCCCAUCUCCUGCAGUCAUCACGGGGCUUCAGGAAAGCAAUCGGAUCUGUAGUUUUUUUGCAUCUGUGUUCUAGAAUCGAAGAAGACGCCCAGGGACCCUAGAGGGGGAGUCAACAAUGAUGUUUUUUACCAUCUCUUAAAGUA